CAAUGGACUCCAACUAGAUUCUUAAAGAGUCAGUGUUAGGUCAAUGGACUCCUACUAGAGCCUUAAGAGUCAGUGUUAGGUCAAUGGACUCCUACUAGAGCCUUAAAGAGUUAAACAUGAAUCUAUCACUUCUUUUCAACGUGACUUAAUCUUUUCAACAGUGAAAUUGUUGAAUAUUUUUGUAAAACGAACGCAAUGUGGUCAUGGCCGUCUUGCAAACGUAAAAUUAAAACGUAGAUAAAACAUUUUUUUUUUUUUUUGUGAAUUUGUGUCAUUUUAUUUAUGAUUAUGACCAUGAUCGUUACAUGAUGUUUGUAGCAUGAAUUACAUUAAUAUAUUUAUGUGCUACAGAUAUGUAUAUGGUUUUCUAUAUUUCAUUUUCAAAGCUUUACUGUAUUUAAACUUCACAGGAAAUAGCACAACAACAACAACAACAACGCCAUGAUGGUCAUCACACACAAAGCUGCAACUUUGUUUGCAAGAAGUAAAUGAAACACAAUUGACCUAAUUACCGGCUUGGCUCCACUCCUCCGCUCUCUUCACUGGUACCGGUGGCUCAUCCAGUUCUAAACAUGGUGCUCACGUACCAUGCUGUGAAUGGAUGGGGUCCAGCUUACAUCCAGGACCUGGUCCAACCCGACAUCCUGACCCGCACUCUCCGCUCUGCAUGUGAUAAACUGCUUGUUCCUCCUUACUGAGAGCAAAACACUCCACUAGAUCUCCACUCUUUGCUGUCCUGCUCCUAAAUGGUGGAAGGAGGUCUCUGAAGACAUCAGGACCGCAGAGAGCCUUCACAUCUUCAGACUACAGACACACCUCUUCACACUCUACCUCCACUAACACACUGUACACACAACUGUAGCACUUAUAUUGGGCUUAUAAUGGUUCUUAUCUACAGCAAGUUGUAAAUUGGCUUAUUUGAUGAACUUUCUUGUUUCUUGUUCUUCUGAGUUUGUUUCCUUAUGGUCGAAUGCACUUAUUGUCGCUUUGGAUAAAAGCGUCUGCUAAAUGACAUGUAAUGUAAUUUGAAAAAGUGUUACGCAUAAAUAUGAGCUUAGUGUGUAAAUCACAUAUCUUUGUCUUUAAUUUAGCCCCUCCAUCUUAUUGAGCCCAACCUUUUCCUCGUUCUAGGUCUGACUUUGCAACACACCUAAACAAUUUAGAUUGAUGAGUAACAGUACAGGUAAAAGG
ensembl:lncRNA